rnacentral:rRNA from 1 species
UACGUAGGGGGCUAGCGUUGUCCGGAAUCAUUGGGCGUAAAGAGCGUGUAGGCGGCCCGGUAAGUCCGCUGUAAAAGUCAAAGGCUCAACCUUUGAAUGUCAGUGGAUACUGCCGGGCUAGAGUCCGGAAGAGGCGAGUGGAACUCCUGGUGUAGCGGUGGAAUGCGCAGAUAUCAGGAGGAACACCUAUUGCGAAGGCAGCUCGCUGGGACGUAACUGACGCUGAGACGCGAAAGCGUGGGGAGCAAACAGG